GCCGAAAUAGCUCAGUUGGGAGAGCGUUAGACUGAAGAUCUAAAGCAAAUGGCAAUUAAGUCUUUUUUUGUU
rnacentral:tRNA from 1 species